rnacentral:rRNA from 1 species
UUACGGUCACAUCACGUUUACACACCAGUUCUCGUACAAUCACCGAAGUUUAGCAACGUCGAGUCCGGUCAGUAUCUAGAUGAGUGACCGCUUGGGAAUACAAGGUGCUGUUA